AGUACGGUGGAGAGCUGCUAGUGCACAAUAUUCGCGAUGGCUGCUUCAAAGGCUCUUGUAAUCCUGUCCAUUAUUGCUAGCGUUAUGAUUAUAACCCAAUGCAUGGCAGCAGCGACAUCAAGUUCUGCUGCAGGAGCCGGUAGUGCCACCGAGAAAGCUGGUUGUACUGGUUCCGGCGGCGGUGGCGCCGCUCCAGCUGCCGGCGCUGCCGCUGCUGGUAGUGGCCGUAGAACUGAGUCACUCGUUUCUGCAUCCUAUUCAUAAUGGAAACCCAAAGGUGCAGUCUGUUUACGUGCCCAUUUGAAGCAACCGAAAUGCAUCAAGAUCGCAACUGAUGGUGUUUGUGCCAACGUAAAGACAAAAACCAGUCACUGGAAAAAGACAUCUCAAUAUGGUGUCAUUAUUGUUUGCACAUGAUAUUAAAGUGAAGCACAAAAAAACAAAGGGAAAGCAAAAUACAGAUCGAAUCGUAUCACAACGCUUUAUGAUAUGAGUUAUGAAAAUUGAAAAAAUGCAAAUCAGUCAUGUCUAUGAAUAAA